CUCUAGGAUGCAGUAUGCUUUGUCUCAAUUGUAGACAGCCUCUGAACGUGACCUCAGUAGGUUUUAGUCGAGCCUUCUAGCGUCUGCUGCAAAUAACCCUCUCUUGACCUUCAGUCUUUUUGCUCAUUCUGGGGAGUCUGUGUCAUAAAUAUUGAUAGAGAAGAUGACUUCAGAGCAAUGCAUACAGAAUGAAUGAUGCUUCUGUGAUGUGUUAAACCAUCUUCCUGCCUUAAAGAUUGCGGGGGAAGAGACAGGCAUUAGAAGAAGCCAUUCUUACCAGGACUCUGCACUUGAUUGGCACUUGCCCUUAAAAUUUUGGGCCUCUUUUCUAAGUGGCACUAACAUAGCUCUCCUGGGUGUGACUCUCCGACGCCGCUGUGGGCGGAUUGCUCUGCUCGCAGUGUGAGAAGAUACCUUUGUCCAUCUGGAUUAUUGCAGUCAGCUACAGGCUCAUCUGCCUGCCUUUGAUGGCCUUGUGUGUCCUCCUUUCUCUUUAGAUGGGGGUCGUUUCGACUUCUGUGCCCAGACACACAGUGGAUUUGAACCCAUUGCAGGCAUAAAGCCAGACUUUGAUUGGCAGGUGAAAGUAAUUUUUGGCUACAAAACAGAACCAUAACAACAAGAGCAGCAGCAGCAGCAACUAACUUUUCUAUGACCCUCCCUCAGAGCCAGGCACUGCUCUGAGCCCUUGACCCAUAUGGAUUUAUUUAACCCACAUGAAAGAUCCAGGGAAGCACAUUCUUUUAUUCAUCUCCGUUUCCGAUAAGGAAACUGAGGUCCAAAGUGGAUGGAGAGACUGAAACCCCAAAGGACGACUGGCCCAGGUCACAAAGCUCCCGACUGAAGCAACAACAGGAUUUCAGUUCACAUCUGUUUGACCCCAGAGACAGUGCUUCAAAGCUAAGUCUCUCUACAGCUGUCCAUGCUAUACACAAACUGUGAGAACCAUGGGAUACUGUUUUCUACCUAUCGUGAUGAAAAAGAUCCAGUGAAAAAUAUCCAGUACUGACCUUCCUGGUGAUCCCCAUUUACUGUGCUGGGCCAAGUUCUCCAGAUGGUUUGAAUUUUGUUAGAAGAAAAAAAAUGUUCUAACGUUGGGCAAGUUUUUGAAACCUCACCAAGAUUGUCUCCUUUCCUGCAAUGAUAGAAGACAGAAUUGCCUUAUUAAGCAAUGUCAUACUUUCAAAGAACAAAUAGUAAGGCUUUAAUACAUAUUGGUUACAUUCUCCUCCCCACCUCUUCUGGAUUACUAGAGGAGAAUGUAAAUUGCUAAGGACAGGGACUAGGUCUUUUUCAUCUCUACACCCCCAAUACUUUGUACAUGGUGGGGUUCAAGACAUGAAA